rnacentral:rRNA from 2 species
CGGUCCAGACUCCUACGGGAGGCAGCAGUAGGGAAUCUUCCGCAAUGGGCGAAAGCCUGACGGAGCAAUGCCGCGUGAGUGAAGAAGGCCUUCGGGUCGUAAAACUCUGUUAUAAGAGAAGAACAAAUUGUAGAGUAACUGCUACAGUCUUGACGGUAUCUUAUCAGAAAGCCACGGCUAACUACGUGCCAGCAGCCGCGGUAA